AGGGUUCGAUUCUGGCUCAGGAUGAACGCCAGCGAUAGGCCUAACACAUGCAAGUCGAGGGGCAGCACAUGAGUAGCAAUACGAUGGUGGCGACCGGCGCACGGGUGAGUAACACGUAUGCAACCUACCUUUAACAGGGGAAUAACCCGUUGAAAAACGGACUAAUGCCCCAUGACACAGGGGUCCCGCAUGGGAAUAUUUGUUAAAGAUUAAUCGGUUGAAGAUGGGCAUGCGUUCAUUAGCUUGUGGUGAGGUAACGGCCCACCAAGGCAACGAUGGAUAGGGGAACUGAGAGGUUUAUCCCCCACACUGGAACUGAGACACGGUCCAGACUCCUACGGGAGGCAGCAGUGAGGAAUAUUGGUCAAUGGAGGCAACUCUGAACCAGCCAAGUCGCCGUGAAGGAUGAAGGUCUUAUGGAUUGUAAACUUCUUUUUCAAGGGAAUAAAGUGGGGGACGUGUCCUCCUUUGCAUGUACCUUGCGAAUAAGGAUCGGCUAACUCCGUGCCAGCAGCUGC
rnacentral:rRNA from 1 species